GAAAGUUCCGAUCAACACCAGGACCACAACGUGUCUGAAAACCCUCCAGAGAAGUUGGAAAGUGGAGAAGUUGCUGGGGCGUCGGCAGACUGUGCUGCACAACAACAGAGCAGCGAGUGAACUUCAGCCAGAAAGGGCAGUCAAAAAUCCAUUUCUUGAAACUGCUGAUGCUGGAAGAAGGAAAUCCACAGCCACACUGGAUCUACUGGAUCUGACAACACCCAACACAACUGUCCAAAGGCUGCCCAGCUGUUGUUAGAAGCAAAGACUUGGAUCAACAAAGCUUAGCUAUGUAGAUGAAGUAAUUCUAGGUAUUGCAAUAAUAUACACACUAGAGGAUGUACUAAGUAAAAGCAUUAUGCUAUGGCCUUAGUCCUAUGACACUUAUGAGCAGCUGUGUAUUCAGAUUUUAAGGUGAGUCUAACAGGAACUAGUAUGUAAAUUUCAUAAGUGAA